rnacentral:tRNA from 1 species
UCCCUGUUGGCUCAGUUGGUAAAGAAACCGCCUGCAAUGCAGGAGACCCAGGUUUGAUCCCUGGGCGGGGAA